GUAAGGUAAAGCACCCAAUGCUCGACAACGCACCAUUGUUCGACACUAAAAAACUAAACUCAAAAAAAUAACACUAUUAAACGUUUUUCGAACGCACCAAAGCUUUGAGCCAUAGACAACUGUCACUAACUAGUCAUUGUGGAUGACAUUUCCUACAUUCGGCCAUUUUGUACAAAAUGGUGAAGGUGUAAAUAUCGACCGGCGGACAACUCUUUCGGAAAUCCAGUUUUACUAGCGGAAUCCUUAAGGAGAAAUGGCGCCUAAAAAAAAUUACACGCCUGCACAAAUGGCUCAGGCUAUAGAAGCGGUC